UGGGAACCUUCCCUAUGGUUCGGAAUAGCUCAGGGAAACUUGGGGUAAUACCGGAUAAGCCCUUCGGGGAAAGAUUUGUCGCUAUUGGAUGGGCCCGCGUCGGAUUAGCUAGUUGGUGAGGUAACGGCUCACCAAGGCAACGAUCCGUAGCUGGUCUGAGAGGAUGAUCAGCCACACUGGGACUGAGACAUGGCCCAGACUCCUACGGGAGGCAG
rnacentral:rRNA from 1 species